rnacentral:ribozyme from 1 species
CUGUUUUAUUGCUCUGUAACGAGGUAAGAUCCGAAACUUCUUGCAGGUUACCACAGGCUCUUUUACUCAACUCUUAUUCCAACACGUCAUCGUUGUGCAUAGAUGGAUGGGUGGCGUUGAUUGUACCGUAAAAACGGCCGGG